AACUUUAAUUACUGACCAUCAUUCACAAAAAAUGUUUGUAUUUUAAAAUUCUCAUUAUACAAGUGAUGAAUAACUAAAACUAACGAUGGACCGAAAUGAAUAGACUCAACAAGAAUAUUUGAUCGGUGUCGCGCAGGCGCAUAUUUUUCGCGACAAUAAAAAAACGUUGGCGCGCGAUGCUCUCUUACGAAAACGUUUGCUUAUAAGUUCAGUUUACCGUCAAGUUUCGCGGCGCGUACAAUUAGAGGAUCUAACAAGCAUCAUUCAAUCUCACGAGAAUAAGCACUUCAUUAGUUAUAACUUAUAACAGAAUAAAUUAAGCACCUGAUUAUCAUGACAUGAUUUAUUCAAUGUUUCUUGGCAAGAUUAAGUUUGUUAAUUAUCACCGCAAAUGAUUAAAAAUUAUUUAGCCGCUAAUUUUGUUGUUUAAAAAUGAUUUUUGAAGUUCAUCAUAAGAGAGUGAAAAUGUGACUUUUGGUUUAAAAAAAUUUGCGUAAUAAUUUUGUGGUUUUUGGUUUUCAUUUUUUGUUACUGUAGUUAGGAACUAAUUUUUUUUAUGAUUAAUAAUGUUGAAUAAACUCACACGAAAAACCAUGAUAGAAGGGCACAAUACAGUAACGAGCUUAUGAUUCGGCGUAUUUUUUUAGAUAAACACACAUAAAAUCACGUUUAAAUAAAUUUACGGUUCUGCAAAAAAUGGAGCUCAGAAAAAUUGAUACUUUCUCAACAUGACAACCGCCGAGCUUAAAUUAUUUACAAUUAAUAAAAUAAAAUCUUACUAUGAAUUUAAUUAUUUUUAUUGCACUAAUA